GAGCCAUGAUGCCAGGUGCGCUCUGGUGAUGGUAGGGUCCAUCACAACCGUCUGAUCUCCAGACGACAACAGCGCCUCUGAGCUC
rnacentral:snoRNA from 1 species